rnacentral:lncRNA from 1 species
GGCAGGGCAAGUCCAGGCAAGGCAAGGCAAGUCCAGGCCAGGCAGGGCCUAGCAAGUCCAAGCAAGUCAUAGCCAGUCCAGGUAAGGCCAGGCAAGGCCAGGAAAGAAAAGGCUAUUCCAGGCAAGGCCAGGCAAGGCAAGGCAAUACGAGGCCAGGCUAGGCUAGGCCAGGCGGGGCAAGGCAAGGCAAGGCAAGGCCAGGCCAGGCCAGGCCAGGCAGGCCAGACCAAGAAGGGCCAGGAGAGGCCAUUCAAGGCAAGGCAAGUCCAGGGAAGGCCAGGCAAGAAAAGGCAAGUCCAGAC